CACGUCUGUGCGCUUUGCUGACGUGGCAACCAAUCGCGUCCACGAUAGGGCGAUUUGUUGCCACGUCAGCAAAGCGCGCUGACGUGG
rfam:Gossypium raimondii Chr08_contig_792, whole genome shotgun sequence.